rnacentral:misc_RNA from 1 species
AAGUCGUAACAAGGUAUCCGUAGGUGAACCUGCGGAUGGAUCAUUAACACUUUUUCCAAAAAAACCUUUAGUGUCCAAAUCAUUUGGACCACUAAAACCCCCUUUUUAGCGAACUUUGUCUACGGUUGAUUUUGUUUUCAGCAACGGGCUGUUCUUUUUUUCUUCUCCUCUUUUUUUUUUAAAGAGGAAGAAAAAGAGACACGGUUGAAUAGGGGGGAAUAAGACACACCUGUGUGUUUUGUUUUCCUUUGUGGAAAUGGAUUAUUCGUAAUCUUAUUUCUACCCGUUCUAAAAUCAAUCGGGUUAUUUCUCGAUUCAUUUUUUAUUUAAAAACCCCAAUUCAACUUUUCUAGACUAAACCUUAAAAAAAACAAAAACUAAGAAAAACAACUCUUAGCAACGGAUAUCUUGGCUCUC